rnacentral:misc_RNA from 1 species
GAUGAAGAACGUAGCGAAAUGCGAUAAGUAAUGCGAAUUGCAGAAUUUCCGUGAGUCAUCGAAUCUUUGAACGCACAUUGCGCCCACUGGUAUUCCGGUGGGCAUGCCUGUUCGAGCGUCAUUAUCCUCCCUCAAACCCCGGGUUUGGUGUUGGACCCAAGUUGUGUGAACAACUGGUCUUAAAGACAAUGACGGCGUCCGUGGGACCCUCGGUGCAACGAGCUUUUAGGAGCACGCAUCGAGUUGCAAGGACCUUCCGGGCCGGUCUCCUUUACUAUUUUACAAGGUUGACCUCGGAUCAGGUAGGAAUACCCGCUGAACUUAAGCAUAUCAUAAGCGGAGGA